UGGGGAAUAUUGGGCAAUGGAGGAAACUCUGACCCAGCAACGCCGCGUGAAUGAUGAAGGUCUUCGGAUUGUAAAGUUCUUUUCUAAGGGACGAAGAAAGUGACGGUACCUUAGGAAUAAGCCUCGGCUAACUACGUGCCAGCAGCCGCGGUAAUACGUAGGAGGCAAGCGUUAUCCGGAAUGACUGGGCGUAAAGGGUGCGUAGGUGGUUUGGCAAGUUGGCGGCGUAACUCCGAGGCUCAACCUCGGAACUACCGCCAAAACUGUUGAACUUGAGUGCAGGAGGGGCAAUCGGAAUUCCUAGUGUAGCGGUGGAAUGCGUAGAUAUUAGGAGGAACACCAGUGGCGAAGGCGGAUUGCUGGACUGUAACUGACACUGAGGCACGAAAGCGUGGGGAGCAAACAGG
rnacentral:rRNA from 1 species